UGAGGAAUAUUGGUCAAUGGGCGAGAGCCCGAACCAGCCAAGUCGCGUGAGGGAAGACGGUCCUACGGAUUGUAAACCUCUUUUGUCGGGGAGUAAUAGGCGGGACGUGUCCUGCUGUGAGAGUACCCGAAGAAAAAGCAUCGGCUAACUCCGUGCCAGCAGCCGCGGUAAUACGGAGGAUGCGAGCGUUAUCCGGAUUUAUUGGGUUUAAAGGGAGCGUAGGCCGCCUGGUAAGCGUGUUGUGAAAUGUCGUUGCUCAACAACGUCACUGCAGCGCGAACUGCCGGGCUUGAGUGUGCGGAAAGCGGGCGGAAUUUGUGGUGUAGCGGUGAAAUGCUUAGAUAUCACGAAGAACUCCGAUUGCGAAGGCAGCUCGCUGUAGCAUUACUGACGCUGAAGCUCGAAGGUGCGGGUAUCGAACAGGAUUAGAUACCCUGGUAGU
rnacentral:rRNA from 1 species